UCUCUGUUGGUAAAGUGAAUGUGCUUCGCCUACCCAAGUUGGUGUUGAUACUGGUAUAAAACCAAAGGAGAAAGAUUGCUAAAGCAUGUAUGGAUGUAACCAUUGAGUUUGGAGUUUGUUCAAAGACGGCUGGGAAAAGCCACAAUGUGUUCAUCAGCUUUGAGACGCUACUGGUUAUUAACCUAUGGUGCUGUACAUCGUCUCCCUCUUAGAGUGCUUGUGACUGAUGUACAGUACCAGCUGCUCCUCAUCCUCUAUCUCCUGGGCCAGAACAGCUCCAAGCCCCCUGUCCGAGGCGUCCGUCUGCAACAAGAAGGGGAGCGAGAUGUCAGGGGAGUGUAACAGCGGUCCGCCACACAGGGCAGCCUUUACCUGGGUUAAAGCCUGCUGACACAGCUCUGUCCACUGGACCGGAUCUGCCGUUUCCUUUUAAGUGAGUCAGUCACCGGGCUGGUGAGGUCCGAAUAAUUAGGUACAAACCUUCUAUAAUAUCCCGCCAGCCCCAGGAACUGCCUCACCUCCUUUUUUGGUCUUGGGUCUUGGGCAAGUCGCAACCGCUGCAGUUUUAUUAAUUUGGGGACACAUCAGCCUGUGGCCCAAGUGGAAGCCAAGAUACCGGACCUACACACACCCUAUCGCACACUUCAUUGGGUUGGCCAUUAGACCAGCCCUCCUCGGUGCCCCCAGCAUGGCACACAAGCGCUCCAUAUGCCGCAGAUAGGCAGUGGCAUAUGCAGCAUGUGGCCAUAAGAUUUUGUCCAUGAGGCAUUGAAACGUGGCCGGUGCCCCAAAAGGAAGCAUAACAAACUGGUGUAAUCCAAUGGUGUUGUGAACGCUGUUUUUUCUGUGGAUAAUGGAGAUAAGGGGAUCUGUCAAUAUCCUUUUGACAAAUCCAGUGUCAAAUAAAAUUGAGCUGUACCCAGCC